rnacentral:rRNA from 1 species
UAGAGAUAGAGUCUUCCCCUUCGGGGGACAAAGUGACAGGUGGUGCAUGGUUGUCGUCAGCUCGUGUCGUGAGAUGUUGGGUUAAGUCCCGCAACGAGCGCAACCCUUAAGCUUAGUUGCCAGCAUUAAGUUGGGCACUCUAAGUUGACUGCCGGUGACAAACCGGAGGAAGGUGGGGAUGACGUCAAAUCAUCAUGCCCCUUAUGAUUUGGGCUACACACGUGCUACAAUGGACAAUACAAAGGGCAGCUAAACCGCGAGGUCAUGCAAAUCCCAUAAAGUUGUUCUCAGUUCGGAUUGUAGUCUGCAACUCGACUACAUGAAGCUGGAAUCGCUAGUAAUCGUAGAUCAGCAUGCUACGGUGAAUACGUUCCCGGGUCUUGUACACACCGCCCGUCACACCACGAGAGUUUGUAACACCCGAAGCCGGUGGAGUAACCAUUUAUGGAGCUAGCCGUCGAAGGUGGGACAAAUGAUUGGGGUGAAGUCGUAACAAGGUAGCCGUAUCGGAAGGUGCGG